rnacentral:rRNA from 1 species
AUGGAAAUGGAAGAACCAAACCAUGUGUUGGCAGCACCGCGCGUUUCAACGCUGGCGAAGACGACUGUACAGGGAUCGUUGCUAGCAGCUGAAUGUGAGAAGAAAAGACAGAGAGAUGUUUUGGCAGGUUGUACCAAGCAAGCAAGUGCCGCUACGCCCGCUGUUGAUUCAUCUCUCCAUGGACUUGCACGUUCUCCUGCUGCUCAUGUUGCUCCUGCUGCAGUGCUUCAUCAUUCUGCUUCAGCUCGUCCUGCUUCACCAGAACUCCCAGAACGACCUCACAACAAGCUGCUGAAGAACCUAUAUUCAGACAAGACAGUGAUUGUGGAUAUUCUCGGGGCACGCAAGAGUGAGUACAGGGGUAGGGCCUUCCCCUGA